UUCCGUAGGUGAACCUGCGGAAGGAUCAUUAUCAAAAAAAAAUCUUUUUUUUUUUUUUUUGAAAUAUUUUUCCAUUUUUCCCUUGUGUAUCUAUUCCAUGUUGCCUCCACUAGACAGGUAAUCAUAUAUAGUUAAAAUGUUUUCUCAAUUGAAAUCAUUGCAACCAUAUCUAUUUACCCUUCAUACCUUGGUGUUUUUUUAAACACUAUAAGGCGUGGAGAAAUGUCAGUGGAUAGCCGUAAUUUUAAGAGAAAGUUUUUAAUAUAUAGUCUGAUAAGAGUUAUAAUUAAAGAAAAAAAACUUUCAACAACGGAUCUCUAGGCUCUUGCAUCGAUGAAGAACGCAGUGAAAUGUGAUAAGUAAUGUGAAUUGCAGAAUCUCGUGAAUCAUCGAAUCUUUGAACGCACAUUGCGCCCAAUGGUAUUCCAUUGGGCAUACCUGUUUGAGUAUCAGAAUCCUUUCAAUUAUCAAACUUUUAUAUAUAGAGAUAUAUGUAAAGAUGUUUGGAAUACAAUUGAGAAACGUAGUAUUCUUUAUAGUAUUACUUUCUUAAAAACCAGAAAUACUAUGUUUUGAUUUUUCUUCACCUCAUUUUGUAUAUCAUUUAACAAAUGAGUACGAGUAAAAAUAUACAAUACUUUGGAUGACCUCAAAUCAGGUAGGGAUACCCGCUGAACUUAAGCAUAUCAAUAAGCGGAGGAUACGGAACUAGCAUAUCAAUAAGCGGAGGAAAAGAAACCAACAGGGAUUGCCUUAGUAACGGCGAGUGAAGCGGCAAAAGCUCAGAUUUGAAAUCUGGUGUCAAAUUGAUACCCGAGUUGUAAUCUGUAGAGGAGUUUUUCGGAGUAUGGCUUUGGUUAAAGUUCCUUGGAAAAGGGCAUCAUAGAGGGUGAGAAUCCUGUUUAUGACCAGUGUCUGUCUCCAUUAUGAAUCUCCUUCAAUGAGUCGAGUUGUUUGGGAAUGCAGCUCUAAAUGGGUGGUAAAUUCCAUCUAAAGCUAAAUAUUGGCAAGAGACCGAUAGCGCACAAGUAGAGUGAUCGAAAGAUGAAAAGAACUCUGAACAGAGAGUUAAAGAGUACGUGAAAUUGUUGAAAGGGAAGCACUUGUGACCAGACAAAUUUACAGUUAAUCAGCCAUCAAUAUUUGGUGGUGCACUUAAUUGUAGGUGGGUCAGCAUCAGUUAUAGUAGUGGAACAAAGAUCAAAGGAAUGUAGCUCCUCUUUGAGGAGUGUUAUAGCCUUUGGUUCAAUACCGCUGGCCAUGACUGAGGAUAGCACUUCCAGUAAGGAUGCUGACAUAAUGGUCAUAAGUGACCCGUCUUGAAACACGGACCAAGGAGUCUAACAUCUAUGCGAGUGUUUGGGUUCAAGCCCUUAUGCAAAAUGAAAGUGAAUGGAGGUGGAAACCAUUAGGUGCACCAUCGACCGAUCCUGAAGUUUUCUGAUGGAUUUGAGUAGGAGCAUAGCUGUUGGGACCCGAAAGAUGGUGAACUAUGCCUGAAUAGGGUGAAGCCAGAGGAAACUCUGGUGGAGGCUCGCAGCGGUUCUGACGUGCAAAUCGAUCGUCAAAUUUGGGUAUAGGGGCGAAAGACUAAUCGAACCAUCUAGUAGCUGGUUCCGGCCGAGCCCUCCCUCACAGAAAA
rnacentral:rRNA from 1 species